CCCUGAACGCGGCGGCUGCCGGCACCCCCCACCCCAGAGCCAGCCGCAUCCCCCCAGCCCUGACCCUGACCCCCGUGUCCCGCAGGCAAGGAUGAGGAGCUGGGCUGGGAGCUGCCAUCGAGCUGAAGGUGCUGCAGGCGCGGCGGGAGCGCCAGGACCGCAUCAGCAAGCUGAUGGGCGAGUACCUGCUCCAGGGCUACCGCAUGCUGGGAGACUGCUGCCAGGACUGCGGGACCAUCCUGCUCCAGGACCAGCAGAAGCGGCUGUACUGCGUGGCCUGCCAGGAGCUGGACUCCGAUGUGGACAAGGAUAACCCGGCGCUGAACCCCCAGGCCGCGCUGUCGCAGGUCCGCGAGCGCCAGCUGGCCUCCAGUG